ACGGGGUAAGCACCGAUAUGCCUCGGGUAGCCGCAAACUGGCUUUGAUCCGAGGACUUCCGAAUGGGGCAACCCAGUGCAGGUUAUACUGCAUUAUCCACACGCCGAAUACAAUAGGCGCGGGGAAGCGAUACCAGGCGAAUUGAAACAUCUAAGUACCCUGAGGAAGAGAAAUCACCGAGAUUCCCCUAGUAGCGGCGAGCGAAGAGGGAAGAGUCUAAACCGUUUUUCCGCAAGGUUAAACGGGGUUGCGGGACCUUAAUGUGGGAUUGUGUAGAGAUAGUAGAAAUAUCUGGAAAGAUAUGCCAUAGUGAGUGAAAGCCUCGUAUAUUAAAUCUCGAAACACCCUAGAGGUAUCCCAAGUACCACGGGACACGGGAAAUCCUGUGGGAAUCUAGGCCGACCACGGUCUAAGACUAAAAACUACACCUAAACCGAUAGUGCACAAGUACCGUGAGGGAAAGUUGAAAAGAACCCCGGUGAGGGGAGUGAAAUAGAACCUAAAAUCAUUGACUUACAAGCGGUGGGAGGGCUAUGCUUUGGCUUCGGCCAGAGAAUGCCUGACCGCGUACCUUUUGCAUAAUGGACCGACGAGUUACUGUGCGAUGCGAGCUUAACUGUGACGUGAAACGGCGCAGGAAGGCGUAGCGAAAGCGAGUCCUAAUAGGGCGAUUCAGUAUCGUAUAGUAGACCCGAAGCUGAGUGAUCUACCCAUGGCCAGCGCGAAGCUCUCCGAAAGGAGAGUGGAGGUGCGAACCCGUCAGUGUUGAAAAACUGUGGGAUGAGCUGUGGGUUGGAGCGAAAGACUAAACAAACUCAGAAAUUGCUGGUUCUCCCCGAAAUAUUUCUAGGGAUAGCGUCGAGUAAAUUGAUUAGUUGGGGUAGAGUGCUGAAUGGGCUACAGGUCCAUACUAGGAUGCUGAGCCCAACCAAACUCCGAAUACAACUAAUUUUACCUCGGCAGUAAGACAAUGUGGGCUAAGCUUCAUUGUCUAAAGGGAUUCAGCCCAGACCGUCAGCUAAGGUCCCUAAGGAUAGGCUAAGUGGUAAAGGAUGUGAACUCACUAUAACAACCAGGAUGUUGGCUCAGAGGCAGCCAUCAUUUAAAGAGUGCGUAACAGCUCACUGGUCGAGUGAUUUCGCGCCUAAAAUGAACGGGGCUCAAGCCUAUUACCGAAGCUGCGGAUGUUAUUGUCGCAAGAUGAUAACGUGGUAGGGGAGCAUUGUCUAUUUGGUUGAAGCCGUACCUAAAGGAGCGGUGGACAAUAGACAAGGGAUUAUGUCGGUAUAAGUAGCGAAAAUGCCUGCGAGAAACAGGCACACCGAAAGUCUAAGGAUUCCUGGGGAAGGUUAAUCCGCCCAGGGUUAGUCGGCCCUAAGCUGAGGCCGUAUGGCGUAAGCGAUGGACAGUCCGUUAAUAUUCGGACACCGGCUAAGUAGCGUUAUCACUUUCUGCAUGACGCAGGAGGUUUAGUUCUGCGCAGUUUUGGAUGUCUGCGUUCUUGGCUCCGUAAGGAGUUGAGGGGACCCUGAGGUUUCCGAGGGGGAAGUGAAAUACAACCACACUGCCAAGAAAAGUGCAGAAAGGAGUUGCUUAGUCGCCCGUACCGUAAUCCGACACAGGUAGACCACCAGAAUAUGGUAAGGUGCUCGAGAUAACUCUCGUUAAGGAACUCGGCAAUCUAGCCUCGUAAGUUAGCAAUAAGAGGUACCUUGGAGUCGCAAGGCUUUCAAGGUCACAGUAAAGUGGAUCGGGUGACUGUUUAGCAAAAACACAGCACUCUGCAAACUCGAAAGAGGAAGUAUAGGGUGUGAUACCUGCCCGGUGCUGGAAGGUUAAGGGGAUUUGUUAGCGGAUCGCAAGAUUUGCGAAGCUCAGAACCGAAGCCCCAGUAAACGGCGGCCGUAACUAUAACGGUCCUAAGGUAGCGAAAUUCCUUGUGGGGUAAGUUCCCACGCGCACGAAUGGUCUAACAACCUGAGCGCUGUCUCAACGAGAGACUCGGCGAAAUUGUAGUGGCGGUGAAGAUGCCGUCUACCCGCAUCAAGACGAAAAGACCCCAGAACCUUUACUGCAGCCUGCUAUUGGGAUUUGGAUCAAUAUGUGUAGCAUAGGUGGGAGGCUUUGAAGCCCUGGCGCUAGCUAGGGCAGAGCCGCAAUCUGAAAUACCACCCUUAUUGCUUUAAGUUUCUAACCACCAGCCGUGAAUCCGGCGGAGGGACAGUGACAGGCGGGCAGUUUGACUGGGGCGGUUCCCUUCUAAAGCGUAACGAAGGGGCCCCAAGGUUGGCUCAGGGCGGUCGGCAAUCGCCCGUGGAGCGUAAGCGCAUAAGCCAGCUUGACUGUGAGUCCGACAGGACGAACAGGUACGAAAGUAGGGGCUAGUGAUCCGGUGGUUGAACGUGGAAUCGCCAUCGCUCAACGGAUAAUAGGUACUCUGGGGAUAACAGGCUUAUCGGGCUCGAGAGUUCACAUCGACAGCCCGGUUUGGCACCUCGAUGUCGGCUCAUCCUAUCCUGGGGCUGUAUAAGGUCCCAAGGGUCCGGCUGUUCGCCGGUUAAAACCAAGGGUCCGGCUGUUCGCCGGUUAAAAGGGUACGCGAGCUGGGUUCAGAACGUCGUGAGACAGUUCGGUCUCUAUCUGAUGUGGGCGUAGGAUAUUUGAAGGGGAGUUCUCUUCAGUACGAGAGGACCUAGAGAAACGAACCUCUGGUGUUCCGGUUGUCCUGCCAAGGGCAAAGGCCGGGUAGCUAUGUUCGGAGUGGAUAAGCGCUGAAAGCAUCUAAGUGCUAAGCCCACCCCAAGAAUUGAUAUCCCAAUAGGCUGGUCGUAGACCACGACCUCGAUAGACGCAAAGUGUAAGAUCCGUAAGGAUUUGAGCUAAUGCGCACUAAUCAGCCGAUCGGCUUGGCCUU
rnacentral:rRNA from 1 species